GGAAUGAUUUGGAUGUAAAUAUCGCUUGGACUAUCAAUUGGAGGGCAAGUCUGGUGCCAGCAGCCGCGGUAAUUCCAGCUUCAUUAGUGUAUAUUAAAGUUGUUGCGGUUAAAAAGCUCGUAGUUGGAUUUCUGUUGGGUAUC
rnacentral:rRNA from 1 species